GGUGGGCCGCGUGCAUCUUUUCACAUCCCGGGGCAGGCAGCCGCCGUCCUGGUGCUCAGGGCGCCUGACCCCGGGCUGCAGCGCAGAGGCGAGGCCCGGCCGGGCGGGGGCCUCACAGGCUCUGGGCGCGAGAACGCGACUUCCCGGAGCCCGGAGGCUAGGAAUGAAGCCCCCGGAUGAGGGAAGCAGGUAUGCUGUCAGGCAGAGUUAUCCCUGCAAACCAGGCGUGGCCGAUCGGAUGCGUGCAGCCUCCCUGAGUUUGCUUGUGGAAAAUCAUGAAGAUCAAGAUUGUUUGCAAUAUCUUGUUGCAAACAAGAAAGCCUUGUUUGCAAAGCAGGUCAGUCCAUGAUAAAGGACUUCUUUUUCAAUCUCCUUUCUUGGCCUCAUUAAAGAAAACACACACAAACCUAUGAACGUAAGCUACAGACUGUGCCCUGUCUGGGAGAAAGCAGGGAGAGGUGAGCAGACCGCAGAGGGUCCGGGGGGCGGCCGUGGCGCCCCACAGCUGGCCGCACAUCUGGACGGGGCCCCAGAGCGAGGCUGCCACGUUUCAGGGCGGUGUGAGCGGAUCAGCAGGUGUGCAGGGCACGCGGACGGUGCCAGGCAUGGGCGCGAUCCCCUUCCCCACGUGUGGCAGCUUUGUGACGUGUGACUGCGGACGGCGGGGCUCAAGGCUGCAAAGAUGACGGGUCUCAGACAGAAGUCCUCUGUGGUCCACUUCCGUGCAGCCUCAAACCCGUGAGACUGAACCCGCCGCGCGGAGGUCUGCCCCCGGAGUGUGUGCUCGGACAGCCGGGGGGCCGAGGGCCAAGGUCCCAGCAAAGACAAGUUCACUGCGAUGAAAACAUAAUCCAAACAUCCCCUCUUUCGACUUUUGCAUGAACUUUAAUCUGAACGGUGCUGAGUCACUCCGGAGGCUUGCGUCUUCCCUGAAUCUCUGCGCCUCCCGCCCUUCUCUGCACACACCUCAUCUUUUGUAAAAACAGCAGGAAGAGUUGUUCAAGUUUUAGGAUUUGAGCAUCUGCUGUUUAAUGGAGCCGUUAUUAAACAUUAAGUGAUAUAGAC